UUUAUUUCUAUUUUAUUUAUACAUUAUUUUUUUAAUAAAUCUAAAAGAUGUAUGUGUUAAUGUAAUGUAGGGAAAUGCUCAAAUUUUAGAUGAAGAGUUAAAUCUUCGUUAUUCUAUAUGCCACGAGCAUUUCACAUAAAUUUGAUUAACAAUAAGAGUUACAUAAAACAUACUUAUGCCUUUUUUUUUAAUUUUUUUUUACUUCUUUAUUAAAUUUU
rnacentral:lncRNA from 1 species